rnacentral:rRNA from 1 species
AGGGAAUCUUCCGCAAUGGGCGAAAGCCUGACGGAGCAACGCCGCGUGAGCGAAGAAGGCCUUCGGGUCGUAAAGCUCUGUUGUCAGGGAAGAACAAGUACCGGAGUAACUGCCGGUACCUUGACGGUACCUGACCAGAAAGCCCCGGCUAACUACGUGCCAGCAGCCGCGGUAAUACGUAGGGGGCGAGCGUUGUCCGGAAUCAUUGGGCGUAAAGCGCGCGCAGGCGGUCCCUUAAGUCUGAUGUGAAAUCUUGCGGCUCAACCGCAAGAGGUCAUUGGAAACUGGGGGACUUGAGUGCAGGAGAGGGAAGCGGAAUUCCAUGUGUAGCGGUGAAAUGCGUAGAGAUAUGGAGGAACACCAGUGGCGAAGGCGGCUUCCUGGCCUGUAACUGACGCUCAGGCGCGAAAGCGUGGGGAGCAAAC